rnacentral:lncRNA from 13 species
AUGAACACGACCCUGUUUGGACUUCCUGUCUGUACUGUGACCCAGGCUGGUUCUGGGGGCUGGAGUCCUGCUGCUCUAUCCGUCUCAUUGGUUACGCCUCAAAUGGCACCCUAUUCCCUACAUAGUGUACUGCUUUUGACAAGAGUCCUGUGGGCCCAAGUAGUGCAUCAUACGCUAAAGGGAAUAGGGUGCCAUUUGGGACGUACGGUCUUGCACAUGUCCAUCUACUGUCCAUCAUUCACAUGUCCAUCUACUAUCUAUCAUUCACAUGUCCAUCUACUGUCCAUCAUUCACAUGUCCAUCUACUAUCCAUCAUUCACAUGUCCAUCUACUGUCCAUCAUUCACAUGUCCAUCUACUGUCCAUCUACUGUCCAUCUACUGUCCAUCAUUCACAUGUCCAUCUACUAUCUAUCAUUCACAUGUCCAUCUACUGUCCAUCAUUCACAUGUCCAUCUACUAUCCAUCAUUCACAUGUCCAUCUACUGUCCAUCUACUAUCCAUCAUUCACANNNNNNNNNNUUUUUUUUGCAGCAAUUCAACCAUGAAUGCCUGAUUCACGCAGUCUCCUCUGAACAGUUGAUGUUGAGAUGUGUCUGUCUGUUAAUUGUGAAGCAUUUAUUUGGGCUGUAAUCUGAGGUGCAGUUAACUCUAAUGAACUUAUCCUCUGCAGCAGAGGUAACUCUGGGUCUUCCUUUCCUGUGGCGGUCCGCAUGAGAGCCAAUUUGUGGAGUGGUUGAAAAACAAGUUUUAAUGACUCCAACCUAGUGUAUGUAAACUUCCCACUUCAACUGUAACUGGCUUGUAUGUUAGAUGCUCCAUGAGAUCUAAUAAAAUAUCAUAGUGGUGAUAUUUUUGUGAAGUCUGUUAUUAUUAUUAAGAAGGUGUAAUUUGAGAGAGUAAAUAUCUACUUGGACCUUCCAGCUACUUGAACCUCCAGCACAAUCUCUACUUGGACCGUCCAGCUACUUGGCCCUCCAGCACAAUCUCUACUUGGACCUUCCAGCUACUUGAAACUCCAGCACAAUCUCUACUUGGACCGUCCAGCUACUUGGCCCUCCAGCACAAUCUCUACUUGGACCUUCCAGCUACUUGGUCCUCCAGCACAACUCUACUUGGACCGUCCA